GCUCCAAUAGCGUAUAUUAAAGUUGUUGCAGUUAAAAAGCUCGUAGUUGGAUGUUGGGUAUUAGUUACGUUCGGUAUUCUUAGAGUACUGUCGUGCUGACCUUUUUCUCGAGGCCUAUAAGUGCACUUAACCGUGUGUUUAUAGUGUUCGGGACUUUACCGUGAGAAAAUUAGAGUGUUCAUAGCAGGCUAGUGCUUGAA
rnacentral:rRNA from 1 species